rnacentral:rRNA from 1 species
CCUCAAAGGCUAAAUACUCCUGACUGACCGAUAGUGAACCAGUACCGUGAGGGAAAGGCGAAAAGAACCCCGGCGAGGGGAGUGAAAAAGAACCUGAAACCGUGUACGUACAAGCAGUGGGAGCACCUUCGGGUGUGACUGCGUACCUUUUGUAUAAUGGGUCAGCGACUUAUAUUCUGUAGCAAGGUUAACCGUAUAGGGGAGCCGGAGGGAAACCGAGUCUUAAUUGGGCGUUAAGUUGCAGGGUAUAGACCCGAAACC